rnacentral:rRNA from 1 species
GAGGAAUUUUGCGCAAUGGGGGAAACCCUGACGCAGCAACGCCGCGUGAGUGAAGAAGGCCCUUGGGUCGUAAAGCUCUGUCAAUGGGGAAGAAGUUGUGUGGUUCAAACAGGGCCAUGCAUUGACGGUACCCAUGAAGGAAGCACCGGCUAACUCCGUGCCAGCAGCCGCGGUAAUACGGAGGGUGCAAGCGUUAUUCGGAAUUAUUGGGCGUAAAGGGCGCGUAGGCGGCCUGUUAAGUCAUCUGUGAAAUUUCGGGGCUUAACCCCGGAGCUGCAUGUGAUACUGGCAGGCUUGAGUAUGGCAGAGGAAAGCGGAAUUCCUGGUGUAGCGGUGAAAUGCGUAGAUAUCAGGAGGAACACCGGUGGCGAAGGCGGCUUUCUGGACCAAUACUGACGCUGAUGCGCGAAGGCGUGGGUAGCAAAC